GAUGAACGCUGGCGGCGUACCUAAUACAUGCAAGUCGAGCGAACAGACGAGGAGCUUGCUCCUCUGACGUUAGCGGCGGACGGGUGAGUAACACGUGGAUAACCUACCUAUAAGACUGGGAUAACUUCGGGAAACCGGAGCUAAUACCGGAUAAUAUAUUGAACCGCAUGGUUCAAUAGUGAAAGACGGUUUUGCUGUCACUUAUAGAUGGAUCCGCGCCGCAUUAGCUAGUUGGUAAGGUGACGGCUUACCAAGGCGACGAUGCGUAGCCGACCUGAGAGGGUGAUCGGCCACACUGGAACUGAGACACGGUCCAGACUCCUACGGGAGGCAGCAGUAGGGAAUCUUCCGCAAUGGGCGAAAGCCUGACGGAGCAACGCCGCGUGAGUGAUGAAGGUCUUCGGAUCGUAAAACUCUGUUAUUAGGGAAGAACAAAUGUGUAAGUAACUAUGCACGUCUUGACGGUACCUAAUCAGAAAGCCACGGCUAACUACGUG
rnacentral:rRNA from 1 species